UUAGUUAUUUUGUGCUCCCUGAGUUUUCGCAUGUCCGUAGCCGAAACGACAUUUUCUCCUAUUAUCAAUUAUCAUAUCCUCCUUUUUCAUUUCUAUUUCCAUUCUUCAAUCUUGAUCCCAAACACACGCGACAAUACUACAAAUAAAUGAAUAAGAGAUGGCAUGAGGUUGAUCCUCUUCUGUGGUAAACGGUAGAUAUCAUUACUCAUCAUCAGAAGGUAAUCCAUCGAAUUCUAUCUCUUUUGCACAUCAACUGCUUGUUAAUAUGCUUCAUAUAUAUUCUCAAUAUAGUUGUUUGAUUUCACAUGCAAUUCGAUUGAAUUAGUUUCUUAUUACCCUGAAUGCCUUAAUUAGUUGCGUUUUGUAUGAUCAGCAUUGGCUUCUGUAGUUCUGUUAGAGAAUCGAUCGUGCUUAUUGACUUGUUCGUAGAAUAUGGAUGGAUAUAGAUUGAUCUCCCAUGUUUGAAACAUCGUUUCCAGCUAAUCUAUCUUGUUUCCGUUUGGAGAUUUAAUGUGAAUAUGUCGAGUUUCGUGGGCGUAAUCGUCUCUGAUCCUUGGCUUCAGAGCCAAUUCACUCAAGUUGAGCUGCGAGGACUUAAAUCUAAGUUUCUCUCAGCAAAGAACCAAUCUGGAAAUGUUACAUUCGCAGAUUUGCCACCAGUAUUGGCAAAAUUGAAGGAGGUCACUGAAUUGACUGAGAAUGAGAUCACAGACAUCUUAAAGGAGUCAUCUCCUGAUUUAAACGAAGAAGUUGAUUUUGAAACCUUCCUUCGGCAUUACUUGGACCUGCAAGCUCAGGCCUCAGCUAAAGUGGGUGGUCCCAACCCUCAAUCGUCGUUUCUCAAAGCAACUACAACUACACUACAUCACACAAUUAGUGAAUCCGAAAAGUCUUCCUAUGUCGCCCACAUCAACAACUAUCUUGGAGAAGAUCCAUUCUUGAAGGAUUAUCUCCCCCUAGAUCCAGCUAGCGAUGAUAUCUUCGAACUGGCAAAGGAUGGUGUUCUUCUAUGUAAACUCAUAAAUGUAGCUGUACCUAAUACUAUAGAUGAGCGAGCCAUCAAUACUAAGAAGGUUCUAAACCCAUGGGAGAGGAACGAGAACCAUACCCUUUGCCUCAAUUCUGCAAAGGCAAUUGGGUGCACAGUGGUCAACAUUGGCACACAGGACCUAAUUGAAGCAAGACCUCAUUUAGUCGUUGGGUUGAUGUCCCAAAUAAUCAAGAUACAAUUGUUAUCUGAUCUUGAUUUAAAGAAGACGCCUCAACUUGUUGAGCUGGUGGAGGAUACCAAGGAUGUAGAGGAGCUUAUGGGAUUAGCCCCAGAGAAAGUUCUUCUGAAAUGGAUGAACUUUCAUCUGAAGAGAGCAGGAUUUGAGAAGCAGAUUACAAAUUUUUCCUCAGAUUUGAAGGAUGGAGAAGCUUAUGCUCACUUGCUCAAUGCACUCGCCCCAGAACUUGGCACAAACUCAACAUUAGAAACAACAGAUCCCACUGAAAGAGCAAAAUUGAUCAUUGAGCAAGCUGAAAAGCUAGAUUGUAAAAGAUAUGUUACUCCAAAGGAUAUCGUUGAUGGAUCAGCAAAUCUUAAUCUUGCAUUUGUUGCUCAAAUAUUUCAACACAGAAAUGGACUAUCAGUGGACCAGUCAAAGAUACCUGUUGCUGAUAUGAUGGAAGAUGAUGCUCAAACUUCACGUGAAGAGCGAUGCUUCCGGCUGUGGAUUAACAGCCUUGGGAUUGAAACCCACGUCAACAAUUUAUUUGACACUGUCAGGGGAGGAUGGGUUCUACUGGAAGUACUUGAAAAAGCUUCUCCUGGGUCUGUUAACUGGAAACAAGCUUCAAAAACUGCCAUUAAUAUGCCUUUCAAGAAACUUGAGAAUUGCAACCAAGUUGUGAGUAUUGGAAAGGAUUUGAAUUUCUCCAUGGUGAAUAUAGCUGGAAAUGAUAUUGCGCAGGGAAACAAGAAGCUCAUAAUAGCUUUUCUGUGGCAGUUAAUGAGAUUUAGCAUGCUCAACCUGUUGAAAAACUUGAGACAGCAUUCCCACGGAAAGGAAAUUGGAGAUGCUGACAUACUGAAUUGGGCAAACGAGAAAGUCAAGAGAUCUGGUAGAAGUUCCCAAAUGGAAAGCUUCAAGGAUAAAAACCUCGCAACCGGGAGAUUCUUUCUCGAACUUUUAAGUUCUGUGGAGCCAAGGGUGGUGAACUGGGCCCUAGUAACGAAGGGCACAACUGAUGAAGAUAAGAAAUCAAAUGCAACAUAUAUUAUCAGUGUUGCUCGAAAGCUUGGAUGCUCCAUAUUCUUAUUGCCUGAGGAUAUAAUUGAGGUGAACCAGAAGAUGAUCCUGACCUUGACAGCAAGUAUCAUGUACUGGAGCCUGCAGAAGAAGGGGGGAGAUUUUGAGCCGCUAUCUCCUAGUCAGCAAUCUGAGCCGCCGUCUCCUAGUCAGCAAUCUGAGCCAUCGUCUCCUAGUCUGAGCAAUAACCAAUCACCAACGUCUCCGAGUGGUGAUGAUGGCUAGUCUGCAUCAAGUACUGGAGUUUGACAAGAAGUAAUUAGCGGUUAAUAGUCAUUUUCACAAACUGGGAAUUCAACUGGGUCUAGCACAGUUGAAAUUUAUAUGGAGUGGAGAGUUGAGAUUUAGGUUCUGGUAAGCAAAUUCAUGGUAGAGUAAGCAAGAAGGUAUGCAUAUCCUUCGAGUUUGAUAGUAGCCACAUCUGCAUUGCUUGGAUACAGUUGAAGUGCGGAAACAGUUUUGUAUGGCACAUUCAUGUUGUUUGUAUUGCAAAGUUAUGUCAUAUAGUAUAUAAAUAUAGCUUUGGUUUUCAUUUUCUUUUUCAUUAUAUUAAAGAUGAAAUCAUUAAAUAUACUAUAUUAAUUGGGAAAGGAAGCGAAAGCAGGUAUGUUUCUCUUUGAUUUUCCUCCACCAAACAGGAGGAGCUGAUGGAGUAUGUUUCGUACUUUAUCUGCGUAUUUUCUGUGCAAAGUAAAAGUGAGAGUUGCUAUGCAGCUGGACUUUUGAUGAUUUUUGCUCCGGUGCAGGUGGAGGGUCCUCUUGAGAGACUGGAGCUCUUUCUCAAGAUUCUGGAUUCUAAAGGCAGUGGGCUCAUAGCUGUUGUUGUGGCCAGGUGGCAUGGACAUGUGUUGAGCGUGCACAAAGAGCGCCUGCAUCAUGAGGCGCAGCAGCAUCACCUCAUUCCUGAGGGCUUCAAUGCAGACAGGCGGAGAGAGUUUUUGGCAGUCAAGAUAUUUGCAGAGUGAUGCUUUCUCCUCCUGUGAAAGGUUGGGGUGGGAGCGGAAGAAGAGGUCUAGCGCCGUGUAGAGGGGAAGUCAGGAUCAGCAACUAUGUUAGUUAGGUACUGGUCCCAUAGCUGUGCAACAGCAGGUGACCUGGUGUCCUAGCCCAAGAAUAUCCUCUCCACCACUGCUAACUCAAUACCAGCCAGAUCCUCCGGCUGAUCCAGAUGCAGCACGGACGGAAGCUAAUAUCCAUACAUCUCUGCUGACCACAUCCCCCACAACGGCAUCCCUCCACGGCCAAGGCUUGUGCUGCUGCAGCGCCUGGUCCCGCCCCUGCUCUGGAUCAAGAAUCUCCAUACAUCAUGCCAUGAACGCCAUGGUCUCGAUGCAGCGGGUGACGAGGAGCACGUCCUCCUCCCAUGGGAGCAGCCCGUGGGCCUGGGACAGCACCAACACAGUCUAGUGCCAGCUCUGGAGGACCACCUGGUUGAGAUACAUGUCCAGGCCUUGGCAGUGGCGCCGCAACUCUAGGAAAUCCGUGGCGCAUCUUAGAGCGGCCACGUUAUCUGCCUCUACUAAUGCACCAUGGCCAUACAUCAGGAGUGCGGUCAGCUCGAAGGCCUCAGCUCCACUGGGGAAAUCCGGAGGGAGCUUGACUUCGUUUGUCGUCUCGUCUUUCAACUUCUCCUUGAAAUUGCCGCUGUUACACCGCAGCCGGACCUUGUGGAGGUGGAAACUUCUUUCGGGAAAUCCAGUUUCUUGGCUCCUGAGAAAUGAACAGAACAAAAUGAGGUUUUGUAAGAAUAAGUUAAUGGAGAAAGAGGGCAACCAACCAACCAUGAAAGAACCUUGAUCUUGAGCAAAGCAGCAACCUUGGAGCUACUCAUGUCUCUUAUUCAUUAACAUAUGCAAAGUCAGGGAAAUAUAUGUAAUAUGCAUUUCUUCUUUGUUUUCUCAAGUUUUAGUAAUGAUCUUGCAUGGGGAUAAAUGUUUGUACUAAUCUCAACAACUUUUUUUAUUAAAAGAAGAGAUGGAGAUUUUAAAAUAA